UGGGGAAUAUUGGACAAUGGGGGCAACCCUGAUCCAGCGAUGCCGCGUGUGUGAAGAAGGCCUACGGGUUGUAAAGCACUUUCGGUGGGGAGGAGGGCUGAUAGGUUAAGAGCUAAUCAGCUGGACGUUACCUACAGAAGAAGCACCGGCUAACUCCGUGCCAGCAGCCGCGGUAAUACGGAGGGUGCAAGCGUUAAUCGGAAUUACUGGGCGUAAAGGGUGCGUAGGCGGUUUAAUAAGUUAAGUGUGAAAUAUCUGGGCUUAACCUGGAGAAGUCACUUAAGACUGUUAGACUUGAGUAUGGGAGAGGGUAGUGGAAUUUCCGGUGUAGCGGUGAAAUGCGUAGAGAUCGGAAGGAACACCAGUGGCGAAGGCGGCUACCUGGCCCAAUACUGACGCUGAGGCACGAAAGCGUGGGGAGCAAACAGG
rnacentral:rRNA from 1 species